rnacentral:rRNA from 1 species
CCGCAAGGUUAAAACUCAAAUGAAUUGACGGGGGCCCGCACAAGCGGUGGAGCAUGUGGUUUAAUUCGAUGCAACGCGAAGAACCUUACCUGGUCUUGACAUCCACGGAAGUUUUCAGAGAUGAGAAUGUGCCUUCGGGAACCGUGAGACAGGUGCUGCAUGGCUGUCGUCAGCUCGUGUUGUGAAAUGUUGGGUUAAGUCCCGCAACGAGCGCAACCCUUAUCCUUUGUUGCCAGCGGUCCGGCCGGGAACUCAAAGGAGACUGCCAGUGAUAAACUGGAGGAAGGUGGGGAUGACGUCAAGUCAUCAUGGCCCUUACGACCAGGGCUACACACGUGCUACAAUGGCGCAUACAAAGAGAAGCGACCUCGCGAGAGCAAGCGGACCUCAUAAAGUGCGUCGUAGUCCGGAUUGGAGUCUGCAACUCGACUCCAUGAAGUCGGAAUCGCUAGUAAUCGUGGAUCAGAAUGCCACGGUGAAUACGUUCCCGGGCCUUGUACACACCGCCCGUCACACCAUGGGAGUGGGUUGCAAAAGAAGUAGGUAGCUUAACCUUCGGGAGGGCGCUUACCACUUUGUGAUUCAUGACUGGGGUGAAGUCGUAACAAGGUAACCGUAGGGGAACCUGCGGUUGGAUCACCUCCUUACCUUAAAGAAGC